GCUGGCGGACGGGUGAGUAACACGUGGGUAACCUACCUUAUAGACUGGGAUAACUCCGGGAAACCGGGGCUAAUACCGAAUAAUACUUUUUAACACAUGUUUGAAAGUUGAAAGACGGUUUCGGCUGUCACUAUAAGAUGGACCCGCGGCGCAUUAGCUAGUUGGUGAGGUAACGGCUCACCAAGGCAACGAUGCGUAGCCGACCUGAGAGGGUGAUCGGCCACACUGGGACUGAGACACGGCCCAGACUCCUACGGGAGGCAGCAGUAGGGAAUCUUCCACAAUGGACGAAAGUCUGAUGGAGCAACGCCGCGUGAGUGAAGAAGGAUUUCGGUUCGUAAAACUCUGUUGCAAGGGAAGAACAAGUAGCGUAGUAACUGGCGCUACCUUGA
rnacentral:rRNA from 1 species